rnacentral:rRNA from 1 species
UACGGAGGGGGCUAGCGUUGUUCGGAAUUACUGGGCGUAAAGCGCGCGUAGGCGGCUUUGUAAGUUAGAGGUGAAAGCCCGGAGCUCAACUCCGGAAUUGCCUUUUAAGACUGCAUCGCUAGAAUCAUGGAGAGGUUAGUGGAAUUCCGAGUGUAGAGGUGAAAUUCGUAGAUAUUGGGAAGAACACCGGUGGCGAAGGCGGCUCUCUGGACCGGAUCUGACGCUGAGGCGCGAAAAGCGUGGGGGAGCAAACAGG